AGGGCUGUAGCCUAGUGGUAGAGCAUCUGCCUUGCAUGCAGAAGGUCCCAGGUUCAAUCUCUAGCACCUCCG